CGGGAAACUGAGAAUAAUACCAGAUAGAACAUUAUGCCNGGAAUGGUUUAUGUUUCAAAUAAUUUAUUGCCGUAGGAUGGGACUGCGGCCUAUCAGUUUGUUGGUGAGGUAAUGGCCCACCAAGACUAUUACAGGUACGGGCUCUGAGAGGAGUAGCCCGGAGAUGGGUACUGAGACACGGACCCAGGCCCUAUGGGGCGCAGCAGGCGAGAAAACUUCGCAAUGUGCGAAAGCACGACAAGGUUAAUCCGAGUGGUUUCUGCUAAAGGAACCUUUUGUUAGUCAUAGAACCACUAAUGAAUAAGGGGUGGGCAAGUUCUGGUGUCAGCCGCCGCGGUAAAACCAGCACCUCAAGUGGUCAGGAUGAUUAUUGGGCCUAAAGCAUCCGUAGCCGGCUUUGUCAGUUUUCGGUUAAAUCCAUAUGCUCAACGUAUGGGCUGCCGGGAAUACUACAAGGCUAGGGAGUGGGAGAGGUAGACGGUACUCGGUAGGAAGGGGUAAAAUCCUUUGAUCUAUUGAUGACCACCUGUGGCGAAGGCGGUCUACCAGAACACGUCCGACGGUGAGGGAUGAAAGCUGGGGGAGCAAACCGGAUUAGAUACCCGGGUAGUCCCAGCUGUAAACUAUGCAAACUCGGUGAUGCAUUGGCUUGAUGCCAAUGCAGUGCCGCAGGGAAGCCGUUAAGUUUGCCGCCUGGGAAGUACGUACGCAAGUAUGAAACUUAA
rnacentral:rRNA from 1 species